rnacentral:rRNA from 1 species
GAUGAACGCUAGCUACAGGCUUAACACAUGCAAGUCGAGGGGCAGCAUUUCAGUUUGCUUGCAAACUGGAGAUGGCGACCGGCGCACGGGUGAGUAACACGUAUCCAACCUGCCGAUAACUCGGGGAUAGCCUUUCGAAAGAAAGAUUAAUACCCGAUGGUAUAAUCAGACCGCAUGGUCUUGUUAUUAAAGAAUUUCGGUUAUCGAUGGGGAUGCGUUCCAUUAGGCAGUUGGUGAGGUAACGGCUCACCAAACCUUCGAUGGAUAGGGGUUCUGAGAGGAAGGUCCCCCACAUUGGAACUGAGACACGGUCCAAACUCCUACGGGAGGCAGCAGUGAGGAAUAUUGGUCAAUGGGCGCAGGCCUGAACCAGCCAAGUAGCGUGAAGGAUGACUGCCCUAUGGGUUGUAAACUUCUUUUAUAUGGGAAUAAAGUUUUCCACGUGUGGAAUUUUGUAUGUACCAUAUGAAUAAGGAUCGGCUAACUCCGUGCCAGCAGCCGCGGUAAUACGGAGGAUCCGAGCGUUAUCCGGAUUUAUUGGGUUUAAAGGGAGCGUAGGUGGACAGUUAAGUCAGUUGUGAAAGUUUGCGGCUCAACCGUAAAAUUGCAGUUGAUACUGGCUGUCUUGAGUACAGUAGAGGUGGGCGGAAUUCGUGGUGUAGCGGUGAAAUGCUUAGAUAUCACGAAGAACUCCGAUUGCGAAGGCAGCUCACUGGACUGCAACUGACACUGAUGCUCGAAAGUGUGGGUAUCAAACAGGAUUAGAUACCCUGGUAGUCCACACAGUAAACGAUGAAUACUCGCUGUUUGCGAUAUACAGUAAGCGGCCAAGCGAAAGCAUUAAGUAUUCCACCUGGGAGUACGCCGGCAACGGUGAAACUCAAAGGAAUUGACGGGGGCCCGCACAAGCGGAGGAACAUGUGGUUUAAUUCGAUGAUACGCGAGGAACCUUACCCGAGCUUAAAUUGCAACUGACGUAGGUGGAAACAUCUAUUCCUUCGGGCAGUUGUGAAGGUGCUGCAUGGUUGUCGUCAGCUCGUGCCGUGAGGUGUCGGCUUAAGUGCCAUAACGAGCGCAACCCUUAUCUUUAGUUACUAACAGGUCAUGCUGAGGACUCUAGAGAGACUGCCGUCGUAAGAUGUGAGGAAGGUGGGGAUGACGUCAAAUCAGCACGGCCCUUACGUCCGGGGCUACACACGUGUUACAAUGGGGGGUACAGAAGGCAGCUACACAGCGAUGUGAUGCUAAUCCCAAAAACCUCUCUCAGUUCGGAUUGGAGUCUGCAACUCGACUCCAUGAAGCUGGAUUCGCUAGUAAUCGCGCAUCAGCCACGGCGCGGUGAAUACGUUCCCGGGCCU